rnacentral:rRNA from 1 species
GAAAUGUGAUAAGUAAUGUGAAUUGCAGAAUUCAGUGAAUCAUCAAAUCUUUGAACGCACCUUGCGCUCCUUGGUAUUCCGAGGAGCAUGCCUGUUUGAGUGUCAUGAACAUUAUCAACCUUGUCUAGCUUUUGUUAGCUUGGGGUAAGGCUUGGAUAAAUGGGAGUGUGCUGGAUUCUAUUCUGAAAUCAGCUAUCCUUAAAUAUAUUAGUGGUGGGGGACCCGGUUAUUGUUCUUCAGCUCUUGGUGUGAUAGUUAUCUACACCAUUCUGCGAGGGGCAGUAUUCAAUGGGUUAAACUAAGACUGCUUUCUAACUAGUUGUCAAGUAAGACAUUCGAGUUGACCUCAAAUCAGGUAGGACUACCCGCUGAACUUAA